rnacentral:rRNA from 1 species
CCUACGGGAGGCAGCAGUGAGGAAUAUUGGUCAAUGGACGAGAGUCUGAACCAGCCAAGUAGCGUGAAGGAUGACUGCCCUAUGGGUUGUAAACUUCUUUUAUAUGGGAAUAAAACAGGGUAUGCAUACCCUCUUGUAUGUACCUUAUGAAUAAGGAUCGGCUAACUCCGUGCCAGCAGCCGCGGUAAUACGGAGGAUCCGAGCGUUAUCCGGAUUUAUUGGGUUUAAAGGGUGCGUAGGUGGAUUGUUAAGUCAGUUGUGAAAGUUUGUGGCUCAACCGUAAAAUUGCAGUUGAAACUGGCAGGCUUGAGUACAGUAGAGGUGGGCGGAAUUCGUGGUGUAGCGGUGAAAUGCUUAGAUAUCACGAAGAACCCCGAUUGCGAAGGCAGCUCACUAAGCUGCAACUGACACUGAUGCUCGAAAGUGUGGGUAUCAAACAGGAUUAGAUACCCCAGUAGUC